ACCUAGUGUUAAAGAACAUAGGUUGGACAUGAAUCUAGUGUUAAAGAACAUAGGUUGGAUAUGAACCUAGUGUUAAAGAAAGUAGUUAAACAAGGUUUAACCCAAAGUGACAUUGUGGCUUGGUAUUAGCGGUAUAUGCAUGAUUAGGUAAAAACCUAUCAUUGGCAUUGAGGCAUAGAGAUAUGGAACAGGUUGGCUAUACCUCCUCAAAUUGAGGAUGGGAUCGUACUCACAUGUAUCGGUUCCGGCUUGUGCGAGAUCGCUCCUCUACAGGCGGUGUACUUCGGAGUAUAGACACAACGG
rnacentral:lncRNA from 1 species